AAAUUGAAGAGUUUGAUCAUGGCUCAGAUUGAACGCUGGCGGCAGGCCUAACACAUGCAAGUCGAGCGGUAA
rnacentral:rRNA from 1 species